rnacentral:rRNA from 1 species
GACGAACGCUGGCGGCGUGCCUAGUACAUGCAAGUCGAACGAGAGCAACCGGUGCUUGCACUGGUCAAUCUAGUGGCGAACGGGUGAGUAACACGUGGGUAACCUGCCCAUCAGAGGGGGAUAACAUCCGGAAACGGAUGCUAAAACCGCAUAGGUCUUCGAACCGCAUGGUUUGAAGAGGAAAAGAGGCGCAAGCUUCUGCUGAUGGAUGGACCCGCGGUGCAUUAGCUAGUUGGUGAGGUAACGGCUCACCAAGGCCGUGAUGCAUAGCCGACCUGAGAGGGUGAUCGGCCACAUUGGGACUGAGACACGGCCCAAACUCCUACGGGAGGCAGCAGUAGGGAAUCUUCCGCAAUGGACGCAAGUCUGACGGAGCAACGCCGCGUGAGUGAAGAAGGUUUUCGGAUCGUAAAACUCUGUUGUUAGAGAAGAACAAGUGCUAGAGUAACUGUUAGCGCCUUGACGGUAGCUAACCAGAAAGCCACGGCUAACUACGUG